GUGCGUCGCCAUAGCCGAUGGUGGAAGCGACAGAAAGGGGAGCUUGAUACGACAGCCACUUCUGCUACUCCUAAUGACACGCCAGAGUUGCAGGAUCCUCCCAAUGAGAAUCUCAACAUGGACACUAGUGCUGCACAGGAUGGUGUACUAGAUGAGAAUUCAGUGGACCUGC